CGCUGUACUCUUGUAGCAAGUCCGCUCGUGCCAUCCAGCAUUCGUUCCAAACGUGGAAGGUCCUGCAAGAGACAGCAUCACGUGCUUAUACCAAGGGACUGAGCCCUGAGGUACAGAUUGAACUUUAAAAUGGGAGCUUCUAAGCCUAAAAGGACAAUGAAUCCUGAAUGAUACAGGACAAAGCUUAAUGAUUCAGGAAUGGACCACAUAGAGCUCUAAGGCACUGCAUGUGAGUGGAGCUGGAGUGACUUGGAUGUGAGAUAUAUUAUGUCGUGAAUGUUCAGCCCCCAUAUUAAAUGGAGAAGCUGCAAAUAUUAAUGAAGUUACAAGAAACUUAGUUCUUUCAGGGGAAAUUUGACAUGUUCAUACCUGAAGACCAAGGGUUAAAGAGCAAAACAAAAGUGCCAAGACUUGCUGGAGAGGAGCUGUCACUUGAAGUAC